GACGCCGCGUGAGGGAUGACGGCCUUCGGGUUGUAAACCUCUUUAGCAGGGGAGAAGGCCUUCGGGUUGACGGUACCUGCAGAAGAAGCGCCGGCUAACUACGUGCCAGCAGCCGCGGUAAUACGUAGGGCGCAAGCGUUGUCCGGAAUUAUUGGGCGUAAAGAGCUCGUAGGCGGUUUGUCGCGUCUGCUGUGAAAACGCGAGGCUCAACCUCGCGCCUGCAGUGGGUACGGGCAGACUAGAGUGCGGUAGGGGAGACUGGAAUUCCUGGUGUAGCGGUGGAAUGCGCAGAUAUCAGGAGGAACACCGGUGGCGAAGGCGGGUCUCUGGGCCGUUACUGACGCUGAGGAGCGAAAGCAUGGGGAGCAAACAGGAUUAGAUACCCUGGUAGUCCACGCCGUAAACGAUGAAUGCCAGUCGUCGGCAAGCAUGCUUGUCGGUGACACACCUAACGGAUUAAGCAUUCCGCCUGGGGAGUACGGUCGCAAGAUUAAAACUCAAAGGAAUUGACGG
rnacentral:rRNA from 1 species